ACAUGUAUUGGAUUCUGGUGACAUGGCAACAAAGUGAAGAUGGCUUGAAGCGUAGUUUAUGCUGAUGACAUGGAUAUUCCACGUAGCGGAAUAUGAUGAUAUGGAUAGAAAUGGCAGGAGAAACGUGGCUACGUUAGUCUGACGUGUCAUUUACCAAUGACGUGGCUACUCCAACCUGGCACAGUAAGCGGGCACGUGGUGAGUGCCAUGUGGUAUUUUGAUGAUGUGGGCUAUAUUAAGCUUCGUUCCACAGAGAGGCCGUCUUGGUGCAAGUUGAAGGACCUGUCGAGCAGAAACAACCUUUGGUUGACGUCUCGUCUGAUGUUAUUGGCGCUUUUCAUAACAAUGGCAAUCUUUCUCUGCAACUGCGUCAUACUUAAUAUUCGGGCCUUCUUUAACGCCAAUCAAAUUUUUCAUGAGAAUCGCCAUUUUCCAUACGGUCUCAACUUUAAACGAGAGGACGCAGAGAGAGUUAUUCUUCUAUGCCAUUAUGAAUUGAUCCAGCGAAGUGUUGAACCUGCUCCAGAAAAUAACUACAGGCACAGUUGAUGUUCCUUCUUUGCAGGGAGCUUGCAGUUAUGCUAUGGGCUAGUAUUUGUUCUACUAUUUAAAAGUUGCAUUCUAUUUUGGGGGUUGAUAGGUUCUCAUCCUGUAUAGUUUUGAGCAGUCGAUGAACUCUGUCACAGUUUUCUGGGUUUUCCAAUUCUGGUCAUUGGGAUAUUUGUAGAUAUCACCAAAAUUACAUGCCUUAAAAUCCAUCUAUAUUCUACUACUUCUGAGGAAAAAAAACAAAAGAAAAUACAGAGAAAACAUUAAAGAUCAGCAGAUUCAAAAUUC